CUACGGAGGGUGCGAGCGUUAAUCGGAAUUACUGGGCGUAAAGGGUGCGUAGGCGGCUUGAUAAGUCGGAUGUGAAAGCCCCGGGCUUAACCUGGGAAUUGCAUUCGAUACUGUCAGGCUAGAGUAUGUCAGAGGUUGGCGGAAUUCCUGGUGUAGCGGUGAAAUGCGUAGAUAUCAGGAGGAACACCAGUGGCGAAGGCGGCUAACUGGGGCAAUACUGCCGCUGAGGCGCGAAAGCGUGGGGAGCAAACAGGAUUAGAAACCCUAGUAGUCC
rnacentral:rRNA from 1 species